GUUUAGUUUUAAAAAGUUUACACUCGUACUACUUGAAUUUUUUCUCAAAAGUUGUUCUAAGAGCUGUAAAUUCAAUUUUUAGUUUGCAUUCCUAUGUAACCGAACAGCGAAAAUUUGAAUCGUCAUUCUUCGAUGCUUUGCGCCAUCUGUCGGAAUUUUUGAGCUUUUAAUCGCGAAUUAAGACUCUUAUAAAUUCCUGUCAUCCAGCCGAGGAAAGUCAGUCUGUUUUCAGAGUUUGGAUCACGAUCAUCAUCCCGACUCUACACGUCUAAACUCUCGAGUCACAACAAGCUUCAAGUGUUGAGCCUGAAACCUGCUCGAUACUGAGGACCAAGUUCAUCAAGUCUAUCUUCUACAAGUCUGAGUAAACACCGAGCAUAAUCAGCCAACGAACUACAAAAAUCAACAGCCAUCGAGCAAUCAAGUGAAAGUUGAAUAAAUGUAAUCAGAGUUAAAACGGAUUAACCUAACUUCUGCAGCCGGAAGCCGGAAGUGCAAAAGUGGAAAAAUGCUGAGUCAUUGUCUAAAAGUAGACCGCGAUCAAUUUCGCCCAGCAAUUCGAUACAGUAGUUCGUUGAAGGAAAAGUGGAAAACGUUAUCUAAAAAUGACAACGCCAUCCGCCUACAGGAAAAGAAACAGCCACCAUCCCGAGAAGAUUCAACAUUGUUACUUCCGAACAACCAAGGAGACACGUCAUAAAAUCUGACGGUUUCAAACUCAUCACUAACAAAUAGAGCUGGCGCCUUAGCCCGCACGGCCACCAGACCAACGGUGGAUUGAACGUCUAUACGAACAUGGCAUUUCGAUCAAGUUAGCCAGGUGUUUUGCUGUGGACAACCGGACACGCGCUCCGCAGCACCCUGACGACAUCCCGCAACUCAUGAUCGAUGAUGAAGUACACAAGUGUUCUGUGCGUAAAACAAAAAGUGAAACAAAGUGAAGAACAGAUAACUAGCAAGAGUGAACACAUCAAGAGUGAAGAAAACUGAUCAAAAACUAUAAUUAAGAUUAGGGCAUAGUGUUUCAUAGGGCUGUCCAUUCUUGUUGCUCGUUGGCUGAUUGAUAACGUUGGUGAUGAUGCUCGUUGGUUAUUAGACUUGUAGAAGAUAGACUUGAUGAACUUGGAACUUAGUGAUCAAGAGGUUCCGGGCUAAAGACUUGAGGCUUGUUGUGACUCUUAAAUGUGUAGACUCAGGGUGAUGAUCGUGAUUCAAACUCUAAGCAUAGACUGUUUGUUAUACAAAAUGAAUUCUUACAGGAUUUUUUAAAAUGUUUUUUUUUUUCACUUUGAUUCGAUGCUCGUUGGCUUGUUGUAUGGACUUGUAGAUUUCCUGUAGAUGGUAACUCGAUGAAUGAUAAUCCUGACGGUGUAGAUAUUCCAAGCUGAAGACUGAGGCUCGCGAUGACUCUAGACUUGUAGACGUGAAAACUCCUGGGUGGCGGUUGUGAUUCAAACUCCUAAAACAGACCGGCUUAUUGACGCGUGGCGUGAUCGAGUGCAACGGAUGUUCGGCCAGUCGAUGUUUUGGGUUUACGAUAAUUUUAUGGUAUCGGUGUUUAUGCUACUGUUUCCUUGGUACUAUAUCAAGUUCAGCCGGGACACACGGGAAAGUGGUGAUCUAGUUGUCAAGAGGCUUCCGUAUGAUAAUUGGCUCGAGGUUAUUGUUUGGGUUAUGGACGUUAUGGGCUGAUUAUCAUAUGAGUCGUGAACAUGGUCUUGAUUGUCUGAUUCCUUUAUCCUUUAUGAUUCCUUUUCCUCCUCUUGAAUAACAUUGUCUACAAAGUUAACGUUUCGGUAUUGAGUAGGUGUAGAAAGAUUUUUGGAUAUCUCUGGGUACCUUUCUUGAACAUAAACCUAGGAGUCCGAAGGCUUGAAUGGGGAGAACACCCAAACCUCUUUUUACUCCAAGGAACCUUCCACCCUAGUGUUUGAACUGACGACCUUUGGAUUGCGAGUCCAACCGCCGCCAACGAUUCCACCGGAGUAGGCUUGGUUUGGUGUGUUGUUUGUACUUAUGGCAUGGAGACAACUCCUACACCUGGAAUGACUUAACGGCCUAACAACCAAGGCCGGGACCGACAUUUUACUUCCUCAUUCGAUGGAAGGUUGCAGCAGAUGGGAAUCGAACCCAGAAUCAUCCGCUUACAAAGCGGACAGCGUAACCAUUCGGAUACGCACUGCCACAGCUGGUGGUGCUGAAGUUAUUAACUGUUUCUGCAUUGCAAUGUCGCGAUUCAAGGAAGGAGAAAGUGGGGACAAGGGGAACAAUUGCCCGUUAAACCAUACACACACAUGUCUUGCCCCACUUUUCUCUGAUGUUUAUCCUUCUUCGAUAUCUCUAUCAAGAUUAAAGAGAUGGUGCCGAUGCUGAAGGUUGAAAGGUCUCAAUUUGCUUGCGGUGUUUGAGGGUUGAUUCUCGUAGGAUCUCGGUGUCGAUGAGAUCAUACUCUUCGACCCUGAAAAAUGAAUUUAUCUAUUAGAAUUAAUGUCAAUUUUAUUAAUUUUCCUAUCGUGUGAAUCAAUAAUAUAAGUAUCGUGAUUUUCUUUGACAGUUAUUGGUUUAUUUCUACUUGGGUUUCCUUGGUUCUUCCGUCUACUAUUGUAUUAGUUACGUAGAAUGGAUAUUAUUUAUCUUGUGGGAUUGAUGCUUCUUUUGUUCUGAAUAUUUUUCAAAUUUUUCCAUAGUUUUGAUCAGCGUUGUUGUUCAUCGGAAGUUAAUUCACUUCUUUCACCUAUAUAUAAAUACAUACGUUAUGUAGAAUGGUUUUUAUGCACAAGUGGACUGUUUUAAGUAUUUGUGAACAACAGUUUGUAUUAGAUCAUAAGAAUCUAGUCUUGGAUUUUCUUUAAAUAGACAUCUUGCUAAUUCCCUAAUGGUAGAAUGACUUCUCUAGACUUGUCCGUUAGUUUCGGAUCUGAGAACUUGAGUUCGGUAUAUGAUGAUUCUGAUUUGAUAUGAAAAAAAACUUUCAUUAUCGAUUACAAUUUGUUUGGGUAUAUUGCGUCUAAGUAUAAGUGAUUGAUCUAGUAAUUAAAAAGAAAAAAAUCAACGAGAACCUGGAUGUCUGUUGUAUUUUUGAUAUUACAUUCUUCGCAAUUUUUCAUGAAGGUUCGUAGCAUUUUGAUCAUUGAUGAAAAGUUACAAACUUUUAGCAAUUGCAUCGUGUUCUCAUAAGCGUUCCGAUCUUUUAAUUGUCUUGUCUUGUCUUUAUCUUUUCAUUAGUUGCACAAUUAUUUACUGUUUUUGAAAGUGUAUGGGAAAUGAAUGUUAUGGGUUUUUCAAUUUCGGGAUUUUUUUGGGAUAGGACUACUCCUGAUGCAACAUUAGAUCUGUCUGUUGUAAGAAUGAAAGGUUUGGUAAAGUCUGUAAAUUCGAGUACAUCAUUCGAUGAUAAACUGUCUUUAAGUGUUUGAAAUCCUUUCUUCGCAUCGUCGUCUAAAGUGAUUUUGUGAGUUCUACAUUCGUUUGUCUUUAUUCGACUUUGGCAAUUCUAAACAUACAAACUUUGGAGAAACCACAUUCGGCCCUCAGCCCUGUCUAAAUAUUUUUGAAAAAUUUCCAAGUGCACGUGUUUGUGGGAACCCCGCAGUUCAUGCUUCCCCUCGAAUUAAGCUUGUGGAGUUGUUCUUGUCAAUUCUUGUAGGUCAGUGGUACCAAUCAGCCAACAAGCAAAAAAAAAAUCAACUGUAAACUAGAGUUAGAAUGUGAAUAUUUCUUUUAAUCCUCAACCCAAGAUUGUUUAAAAUUGAGAUUUAUGAUUUCUAGUAACCAAUGCUUUUAUGAAGAUUUAAAAUUGUAAAAAAAAAAUAAAAAAAAGUCGUGAAAUGUAAUGAUGAAAUUGUAAAUGUUAUCUCUUGUAUCUUUGUAGAAUUAAUCUAUUUGUAAAAAUACUGUAGUAAAUUGUACUUGUACAAAAAGAUAAUAAAAUACAAGCAUUCCAUUCUACAAAUCAGGUCAAAUUCACGUAACCUCCAAUAAAAACAAAAUCUCUCCUACUGUAAGCUUUUCAUUUUCACACAGACAGUCCCGUCUUUUUUUUUUUUUGCCCAACAGUUUGAAAACAAUUUUGAUGUAUCGCUGCGCUUACCUUGCCAUAUUUAUUGCCUCAGUCGUCGUGGAGCUAGAGCUAGCUGGUAGAUACUUGUCGGGAAAACUUCCGCAGCCCUGCCGGGGGUUGUUGUACUGCAAGUGUACGUACAGAGAAGUUAUCCGACCGCAGCACAAUGAAGAUGAAGCGAAAAACCACACCACCCACAAUGCAGAGUGCUGUUGAGCACAGUUUCAAGAAAACUGCAAGAAUGAGUUUUCCA